AUGAAGGAUGAUGGGUAUGGUAUAUUUCCCACUAUUCUUUCAGUAUGUCAUUCUCCUGAUUGGUUGAUUGGCACGGGUGCUAAUAUGCAUGUAUGCGGUGAUAUUGCCAUGUUUUCGUCUUAUCAGACCGCAGGGACUUCAACCGUGCUGAUGGGCAACGGUUCAAGUGCUUCUGUUCGUGGUGUUGGCACGGUCGAUCUGAAGUUUACUUCGGGGAAGAUCGUGCGGCUGAAGAACGUGCAUUAUGUCCCCUCCAUCAAUAAAAAUCUUGUUAGCGGAUCUCUUCUGUGUAGAGAUGGCUACAAGCUUGUCUUUGAGUCGAAUAAAUUUGUAAUAUCCAAGUAUGGAACCUUUGUUGGUAAAGGCUAUGAGUCAGGAGGUCUGUUUCGUUUAUCCUUAUCGGACGUUUGCAAUAAAGUU
rnacentral:rRNA from 1 species